rnacentral:misc_RNA from 1 species
UUCUUGAUAUUGCAUGUUUCUUCACUGGGUAUGAUAAGGACUAUGUCAUAAGCAUACUGGAAGAAUGCGGCUUCUUUCCCGUUAACGGCAUUAAUUCUCUGAUGAGGAGGUGUCUAGUAAAAGUUGGCUCUAAUAACAAGUUGUCGAUGCAUGAUUUGCUUCGGGACUUGGGAAGAGAAACCGUUCGGAAAGAGCAUGUUGUAGAUCCUGGAGAACGUAGUAGAUUAUGGCAUCAUGAAGAUGUAAUUGAUGUUUUAACAAAUAAAACGGGUACAAGAGCAGUUGAAGGCCUUGUUCUGAACAUGCCAGGAUUAAAACAGUACUCAUCGAGUACCAAGACAUUCAAAAAGAUGAAAAUGCUAAGACUGCUUCAACUCAACUAUAUACACCUAGCAGGAGACUACAAGCAUAUUUCUAACAAGUUAAGAUGGUUGUGUUGGCGUGAAUUUCCUUUGGAAUCUAUACCAUUUGAUCUCAGUCUGGAAAAUCUGGUUAUUCUUGAUAUGCGAUAUAGCAGUCUGAAACAUUUUGUGGAGGCAGGAAAGUCUCUAAAGAAGCUGAAAUUGCUUAAUCUUAACCACUCUCACAAGCUUAUUGAGAUCCCAGACUUUGAAGGUUGCCAAAAUCUUCAGAAAUUGAUGCUGAAAGAUUGCAUUAGAUUGGAAAGGGUUGGUGACUCCAUUGGACUUCUCACUAAUCUUGUUUUCCUGAAUUUUCAAGAUUGCAAGAGCCUUAGGAAUCUUCCAGGAAGUGUUGGUGGUCUAAGAACGCUGGAGAAGCUUGAUAUGUCGGGCUGCUCAAAACUUGAAGAGAUGCCCGAGUCCAUUGGACUUCUAACUCACCUUAUUCUGUUGAAUUUGCAAAACUGUGAGAAACUUGAGAACCUUCCAGGAAGCAUUGGCAAUCUAAAAUCUCUUCAGGAGCUAAACAUGUCAGGCUGCUCCAAACUUGAGCAGUUGCCCGAGUCCACUGGAUUUCUAACAUGCCUCACUUCAUUGAAUUUGCAUGAUUGCGAGAACCUUAAGAGUCUUCCAGGGAGCAUUGGUGAUCUAAACUCACUUGAGAAGCUAGACAUGUCAGGCUGCUCAAAACUUGAAGAUUUGCCAGAAUCCACUGGACAUUUUAAUUCCCUUGUUUUCUGGAAUUUGCAAGAUUGCAAGAAUCUUAAGAAUUUCCCUGCAAAAAUUUUUGGUCUAAGAUCACUGAAGGAGUUAAACAUGUCAGGCUGCUCAAAAUUCAAGGAAUUGCCUGAGGACCUGGGGAAGUUGAAAUCCUUGGUUGUUCUUAAUCUUGAUGGAACUGGAAUAAACAUCCUACCUGAAACAAUUAGAAAUAUGAAAAAUCUUGAAAUUUUGUCUUUAUCUGAAUGUCCUCUUAUCUUUUCACCCGAAAACUGUCCUCAGAUCAUCAGCAUUUUACCUUUUUCUUUAAAAGAGUUGGAUAUCAGAUAUUGUAACAUAUUAGAUGGUAUAAUUCCCCAUGCUUUUCGAGGCUUGUCUUCUUUGAAAGUGCUGAAAUUAUGUGGCAAUGGUUUCACAAGCUUUCCAGCUAGUAUCAUUAGCCUUCCUAAUCUUGGACAGCUUCAUUUAAAUUCAUGCAAAGGGCUUCGAUCUAUACCCCAACUUCAGUCAAGUGUAAAAGGUUUGUAUGCUAAUGAUUGUUUGUCAUUGGAAAGUAUUAAUCUAACAAAUUUUCAUGGGGAAUCAGCUCUGGAGGUCAAAGGUUGCGUGAAUUUAAAAGGAAUUGAAGGCUUUUUCAACUUGGAACCAUUGGAAGUUGAUAUUGCUGGAAAACUUCUUGGAAGCAAUAGCUCAUUCAUCCAAGAAUCAGUUACAAACUAUUCUGUCCGCAAAAUUGACAAUCUUGUAGUAGCUAAUGCGAUGUGUCCACCGCAGGCUCUUUCUGAGAGGGGCUUAUACAGCAUCUUCCUACCAGGAAAUGAGAUUCCAACGUGGUUCGGCGAUCUACAUAAAGGCAAUAUUGUAUCCUUUCACGUGCCUCGACUUGAUCCAGGUUCAAUCAUCAUUGGAGUUGUUACAUAUGCUACUUACGCAUGGGGAAGAUAUCAAACGGACCUCCUAACAAAACAGAAAUCUUGUUACACUUGUCCUUGUCUCACGAUCACUAAUAAAACCAAACUGUUUGAAUGGAUCUAUGAUCCUCAUAUCACCUUCUUUUCAAGAGAUGUUGAGCAAGAUAUCAGUUGGUUGUGCUAUUGGAUGUUUGAUAAUCAUAAGAGGGGAACUGAUCAAUAUGAUGCGGGUUGGCGAUUUAAGGAUGAGUUGGAAGAAGGGGAUGAAGUGGAAUUUUCUAUUGACUUGGGUUUUGGAAUUAAUGUAAAAAAGUGUGGCAUCCACUUGCUUUACCAGGCUAAAGACCAUGGCGCACAAUCAGAUGAUCUAGCAAUCGUUUCUUAUGCCUCAUCCAGACAUCAUAGAAGGUUCUUACGAUCUCGUCCUCGAUUGUUAACAAUGAAGAGCAACCAAGAAAUAACAGUGAAUGAUACAGGAACUCCCAUCAGGGAUAAGGAAUUUUUGCAGUGGACAAAGUAUAGGGAUCAAAAAUUGGACGAGACUGUUGCUAUGAAUAGGACAAUAUAUGAAAGAGGCUAACUGAAUAGGCUAUCAACCUGAAAAUAAGGAUCUGGAAGCGUCCUUACCAAGUUUCUCCAUUUGGUGGAUUUGCAAAUACUUCUGGCAAGGGGAAUUAGGAAGGUAAACAAUUGCUUGUUAUUCUCUCUAUGUGACUUUCUAUUUCUCUCUUGUAUUAGUGGUUGGUUUGAUUUUGAUGCUAGACUGCUUGAAUUAUUUAAAACUAGUGGUGAGGUUUAACUAUAAUUACUAAUACCUCUGCUAUUUUCAAAUUGAAUUAUAACCCUCUUACUAUUUAAUUUUAUCAGGGAUCUUCGGUUUUUUAAAAUUGAAUUACAAUUCCCUAAUGAAGGGGUCUUCUAAUUUGAUAAAACUGAAAUAGCAAGGGUCAUAAUUAAAUUCUAAAAUAGGAGGUAUGCUAAUAAUUAUGUUUAAACCUCAAGAGCUUUUAGUUAUUCACCUUAAAACUAGAUGAGAUCUCUUGUUAUGUCAAACUGACCAAUCAUAUUAUAGAUAGAUAUUAAAUCUUUGUUAUAACUUGUAGUGAAUAAAUAAUGUAAUUAUCAAUAGCUCUUUUUUCCAAUCAUUGAAGGAAAACUGCAUUGCUAAAUUAUUUCUAAUUGAUAUAUAUUCGCUAUACAAAUAAAUUACAUUCUAUGAAAAAAAUUAGCUAUGCGCGAAAUAAAGGGCAAGGCUUAUCAGUCCUAAUUUUCUUACCUAGCAGUAUACUAAACGUAGUUCAGAAAUUUUUUUAGAUGUAUAUGGGAGAAAGGAAAAAAAAAUGAUGGAAGAUGUUUAAUAAAACUAAGAAUUAAGAAAAUCAGAGAAUGUCUUCUUUUAGAAUUAUUUUUUUUU